GGCCCCUUAGUCUAAAGGUUAGGACAUCGCCCUUUCAAGGCGAAGGUAUUGGGUUCAAGUCCCAUAGGGGUCA
rnacentral:tRNA from 1 species